UUCUGUUUAUGAAUUCCAUCCAGCUUAGCUAUUUCUACUAUAUCUAUAGCAAAUAUUUCCCAAUGAAGUUCCAGGGCCUCACCAUUUUCUGGCUUGCUUUGGUAGCAAGUACUUAUGCAUCGAUAUCUCCGGAGGUUUAUUGGAAAAUAAAAUUGCCCGACACUCAAAUUCCCAAAGUCAUCAAAGAUUUCCUUCCUCAAUCAGACGGUGUUGUUCCUGAGCUAAAACAAGAUAACACUAAGAAGAAAGUGUACUAUGGUUUAAGUGGAUAUAUUCCCAUUAGCUGGCAUCAUGCUGCUAAUUCGAAGUUUGAACGUUACGUGUUGGAAAACCCCAGCACGAAUCGUGCUACUAACAAGAAUUUGAUCAAACAAGUAACCGAAGAAAGCAGUUUCAAGACUGAUCUUAAAGUAAAUUAUGACAAUUUGAGACAAUACUUCUUUUUAGAGAAGGACUGGAGAAAGGGAAAGUACUCAACUUUCCCUCUCUCCUAAAUAAAAACCAAGCACCAUUUUUGCCUAGACAAUUUGUUGAAUCGAUUCCCUUCUCAAUGGAGAAAUUCCCAGAGAUCCUUAACUAUUUCUCGAUCGAUAGUAAAUCAAAGGAUGCUCAAACUAUUAAGAAAACAAUCAAACUUUGUGAAGAGCCAGAAGUGAAACAUAAAGAGAAGAAAACUUGUGUGACUUCUUUGGAGUCUAUGGUAGAUUUCGGAUUAUCUAUACUUGAGACAAACAAUAUACUCACGAUUACCUCUGAGGUACAAGGGGAAACUCAAAAAUCACAAGGUUACACAAUUGAACAAGUUGAACAAAUAUCUGAUGGGGAUAACGUGGUUUGCCACAAACUGAACUACGCGUAUGCACUACAUUAUUGUCACGUUGGAGGAAGUACAAGAACAUUUAUGGUAUCUAUGAUCGGUGUUGAUGGAACAAAAGUGAAAGCAGUAUCUGUGUGCCACAAAGAUACAUCUUUUUGGAACCCAAACGCGAUCCCUUUUGUAGUUCUCAACGUUAAGCCUGGAACUACGCCGAUUUGUCAUUUUCUUCAAGAUGAUCAAAUUGUCUUUGUACCGAUCUAAAUAGGCCAUUAAGCUACUAUGUCAUUUCCUCUAAGAGUAGUCGUUUACCUUUUCUGUGUUUCAUCUGUAAUGUAUCUUUAUCUUUAUAAAUAAAUGGAAAUGAUCCUUUGCUUCAUGUUA